GCUGCACUUGGAUUCCGUUCCU
rnacentral:miRNA from 2 species